UCGCUGCGACAGUUAGCUAG
rnacentral:miRNA from 1 species